CCACUGAAGUUGCUAAGACUGGAUAGGAAAUAAAAAGGCAUCUUUUUAUUUUUAAAAGACCUUUUUCGGAAGGUAUGCUUAAAGAGGGGCUUGCGUCACAUUAGUUAGUUGGCAGGGUAAAGGCCUACCAAGACUAUGAUGUGUAGCUGGACUGAGAGGUUGAACAGCCACAUUGGGACUGAGACACGGCCCAAACUCCUACGGGAGGCAGCAGUAGGGAAUUUUCGGCAAUGGAGGAAACUCUGACCGAGCAACGCCGCGUGAACGAUGAAGUAUUUCGGUAUGUAAAGUUCUUUUAUUGAAGAAGAAAAAAUAGUGGAAAAACUAUCUUGACGAUAUUCAAUGAAUAAGCCCCGGCAAACUAUGUGCCAGCAGCCGCGGUAAUACAUAGGGGGCGAGCGUUAUCCGGAAUUAUUGGGCGUAAAGGGUGCGUAGGCGGUUUAAUAAGUCUAUAGUUUAAUUUCAGUGCUUAACACUGUCCUGCUAUAGAAACUAUUAGACUAGAGUGAGAUAGAGGCAAGUGGAAUUCCAUGUGUAGCGGUAAAAUGCGUAAAUAUAUGGAGGAACACCAGAGGCGUAGGCGGCUUGCUGGGUCUUUACUGACGCUGAGGCACGAAAGCGUGGGGAGCAAACAGGAUUAGAUACCCUGGUAGUCCACGCCGUAAACGAUGAGUACUAAGUGUCGGGAUUACUCGGUACUGAAGUUAACACAUUAAGUACUCCGCCUGAGUAGUACGUACGCAAGUAUGAAACUUAAAGGAAUUGACGGGACUCCGCACAAGCGGUGGAUCAUGUUGUUUAAUUCGAAGAUACACGAAAAACCUUACCAGGUCUUGACAUACUCUGCAAAGCUAUAGCAAUAUAGUGGAGGUUAUCAGGGAUACAGGUGGUGCAUGGUUGUCGUCAGCUCGUGUCGUGAGAUGUUAGGUUAAGUCCUAAAACGAGCGCAACCCUUGUCAUUAGUUGCCAGCAUGUCAUGAUGGGCACUUUAAUGAGACUGCCAAUGAAAAAUUGGAGGAAGGUGAGGAUCACGUCAAAUCAUCAUGCCCCUUAUGAUCUGGGCUACAAACGUGAUACAAUGGCUGUUACAAAGAGUAGCUGAAACGCAAGUUUAUAGCCAAUCUCAUAAAAGCAGUCUCAGUUCGGAUUGAAGUCUGCAACUCGACUUCAUGAAGUUGGAAUCGCUAGUAAUCGCGAAUCAGCAUGUCGCGGUGAAUACGUUCUCGGGGUUUGUACACACCGCCCGUCA
rnacentral:rRNA from 1 species